GAACGCUGGCGGCGUGCCUAAUACAUGCAAGUCGAACGCACAGCGAAAGGUGCUUGCAUCUUUCAAGUGAGUGGCGAACGGGUGAGUAACACGUGGAUAACCUACCUCAAGGUUGGGGAUAACAUUUGGAAACAGAUGCUAAUACCGAAUAAAACUUCGUAUCGCAUGAUACAAGGUUAAAAGGCGCUACGGCGUCACCUAGAGAUGGAUCCGCGGUGCAUUAGUUAGUUGGUGGGGUAAAGGCCUACCAAGACAAUGAUGCAUAGCCGAGUUGAGAGACUGAUCGGCCACAUUGGGACUGAGACACGGCCCAAACUCCUACGGGAGGCUGCAGUAGGGAAUCUUCCACAAUGGGCGAAAGCCUGAUGGAGCAACGCCGCGUGUGUGAUGAAGGCUUUCGGGUCGUAAAGCACUGUUGUAUGGGAAGAACAGCUAGAGUAGGGAAUGACUUUAGUUUGACGGUACCAUACCAGAAAGGGACGGCUAAAUACGUG
rnacentral:rRNA from 1 species